CCAUGAAAUUCUUGAAAGAUUAAACCUCAAAGAUCGUUUAUAUUAAAGAUAUUCAAGCCAAAAUCCCAAAGUCUGCAUCAAAAUGAUAACGGGAAAACGCUGGGUAAAGCCAUACAGACAAAAAGCCGACCACAAAUCAAAGUUUGGUGGUACUUUGGCUUGAUCUUUCCAGGCCUACAAGCGAGCUGCCCCAAUCUCAUGCCACGAACAAAAAGCAAAGAUGUAAGGUUGGCCAGACCUUGCACCUGUGCUAGUUGAUCACGACAAUCGAUCAGAGCAACUCGACUGUAGGUCGGGAAAGUCCGAGCCGAAGUACCACCGAACCUCGACGAAUAGCCGGCCACUCA
rnacentral:lncRNA from 1 species